rnacentral:rRNA from 1 species
GACGAACGCUGGCGGCGUGCCUAAUACAUGCAAGUAGAACGCUGAAGGAGGAGCUUGCUUCUCUGGAUGAGUUGCGAACGGGUGAGUAACGCGUAGGUAACCUGCCUGGUAGCGGGGGAUAACUAUUGGAAACGAUAGCUAAUACCGCAUAAGAGUAGAUGUUGCAUGACAUUUGCUUAAAAGGUGCAAUUGCAUCACUACCAGAUGGACCUGCGUUGUAUUAGCUAGUUGGUGGGGUAACGGCUCACCAAGGCGACGAUACAUAGCCGACCUGAGAGGGGGAUCGGACACACUGGGACUGAGACACGGCCCAGACUCCUACGGGAGGCAGCAGUAGGGAAUCUUCGGCAAUGGACGGAAGUCUGACCGAGCAACGCCGCGUGAGUGAAGAAGGUUUUCGGAUCGUAAAGCUCUGUUGUAAGAGAAGAACGAGUGUGAGAGUGGAAAGUUCACACUGUGACGGUAUCUUACCAGAAAGGGACGGCUAACUACGUG